AUUGAACGCUGGCGGCAUGCCUUACACAUGCAAGUCGAACGGUAACGGGUCCUUCGGGAUGCCGACGAGUGGCGAACGGGUGAGUAAUAUAUCGGAACGUGCCCAGUAGUGGGGGAUAACUGCUCGAAAGAGCAGCUAAUACCGCAUACGACCUGAGGGUGAAAGGGGGGGAUCGCAAGACCUCUCGCUAUUGGAGCGGCCGAUAUCAGAUUAGCUAGUUGGUGGGGUAAAGGCCUACCAAGGCAACGAUCUGUAGUUGGUCUGAGAGGACGACCAGCCACACUGGGACUGAGACACGGCCCAGACUCCUACGGGAGGCAGCAGUGGGGAAUUUUGGACAAUGGGCGCAAGCCUGAUCCAGCAAUGCCGCGUGCAGGAAGAAGGCCUUCGGGUUGUAAACUGCUUUUGUUCAGGGAAGAAAUCUUCUGGGCUAAUACCCCGGGAGGACUGACGGUACCUGAAGAAUAAAGCACCGGCUAACUAACGUGCCAGCAGCCGCGGUAAUACG
rnacentral:rRNA from 1 species